UUCUGUAUGCAUUGGAUAAUAGUAUUCUCUUCCUUUUCUUUGCUAAAAUUGAAUAGAUUCACAGAAAAUUUUGGCAAAAAGCUGGCCAUAAAGUCAACUGACUGCCUCAUGCCAAACUCCUCAAGCUUGACAUCCUCUCACUGUCCUGUCCCUGUGCGUCUUGCCUGGCCUAGACAGCCCUUCUUUUUCUCCAGGGUCAAAAACAGGGUCAGAAGCAGAUUGGCUCUGCAAAGCCAGGUACAAGCUCUAUUUAAAUGUAAUUAAGGUCACAGGAAGCCCUUGCUGAGAAAAUCUGCUGCGAAGUGCCAUUUGGGAUCCUGAUCAUCUGGUUGCUUAUUCCGUUGCUCCGGGCUCCCCAUUGGGUUUCUGAGAAUUAGCGAAUCAGGACCAUGGGCGCAGUCAGAACUGUUCAAACAGGAGCACGAGGGGUUGAAGCAGACGUUACUGGCCUUUCUUCCUGACACCCUGUCCUGUCAGCUGCGGGAGUCCGAGGUGGCUGAGAUUCACUGGCCCUGUGACCCCUGAGCCAAGGAGUUUCUUAAGAGAUUGUAGGAGCCCUGGACUCAGACAAGCCUGAAGGAGACUUAGUGGACCACCUCCAGACUUGAAGCAUGUCACAACUCUACUCCCUGAUGAGAGAGCAGCGCUGUCUUUACAUUCCUGACUGGCAGGAGAGGAAACUUCCGUGUCCUGUAGGAGGGUGUACUCUCCGGAGCCAAUUGGGGCUGUGUAUUUCAACUUGAAAAAGACUGAUCGCCUGGCUGUGGUAAGCUUCUAUUGUAGAAUCCAAACCGAAUACCACACGCA
rnacentral:lncRNA from 1 species